rnacentral:lncRNA from 1 species
GCCAUAUAAGCAAAUUUCAAAAUUUCCAUAUACUCCAUAGGAUUGUAAACCAUCUGCUUUGUUCAUGAUCAGAAGUCGCACCUACCAUAGUGUCAACAACUAAUUCAACAAUAAAAAAACCAUAGCUAAACCCUGCAAGAUUCCAUACAUCAACAACAUAGCUGCACAUUAAAAACACAUGGUUCAUAUCUUCCAAAAACUAGCAGCGAGGGCAAGGGGUCAACAUUACAACCUUUCUUAAUUAAACAAAGUUGACAUGGUACAAAAUUUUUAAACAACACUUGACAAAAUGUUUAACCAUGGGAGGCCACUUCGAGUUCCAAAUACAACCCCAAGGGCCAUUAUACUCUAGAUUACGAAUGUGGAAAAAAAAAGCAAAAGUGCAAGAACGUACCC